ACGAGCUAUAGUAUUUGCAGCUGAGCUUCAAAUUUCUUCGUAGAGCAAUGAAGGAAUGUCUAUACGGUUGGAGCUUGAGGCUUUGAUUUUGAUAUCUAGCAUUGUGGAGUUGGUAAGGCUACAUGGAAAUGCAGUCAGAUAUAUGUGCAAGGUAUCCUUAUAUCUUAAAGGCUUCAGGUACUUUAUUUUACUUUAUGUUCGAGGACGAACAUAGUUUUUACUGGUAGAUAAUGUAAUUUGAACAGUUACUUUUAGUAUUUCCGUGAUAUUUAUCA